rnacentral:rRNA from 1 species
GCGAACGGGUGAGUAACACGUGAGCAACCUGCCCUUGACUCUGGAAUAACAGCUGGAAACAGCUGCUAAUACCGGAUACGACCUCUUGCGACAUCGCAGGAGGUGGAAAGCUCCGACGGUCAAGGAUGGGCUCGCGGCCUAUCAGCUAGUUGGUGAGGUAACGGCUCACCAAGGCUUCGACGGGUAGCCGGCCUGAGAGGGCGACCGGCCACACUGGGACUGAGAUACGGCCCAGACUCCUACGGGAGGCAGCAGUGGGGAAUAUUGCACAAUGGGCGCAAGCCUGAUGCAGCAACGCCGCGUGCGGGAUGACGGCCUUCGGGUUGUAAACCGCUUUCAGUUCCGACGAAGCGCAAGUGACGGUAGGAACAGAAGAAGGACCGGCCAACUACGUGCCAGCAGCCGCGG